UGAGUUGGCUAGACGGCCGCGUCAGGGUUUCGGCCCUGCCGAGGAACGUCCGGGCUCCACAGGGCAAGGUGGUGGGUAACGCCCACCCGGGGUGACCCGCGGGACAGUGCCACAGAAAGUAGACCGCCGGAGCGCUUGCGCAUCCGGUAAGGGUGAAACGGUGGUGUAAGAGACCACCAGCGCGCCGGGUGACCGGCGCGGCUAGGUAAACCCCACCUGGAGCAAGGUCAGACAGAGUGCGUUUGAGGGCUGCUCGCCCGAGCACUUGGGUAGACCGCUGGAGGCGUGCGGCAACGUACGUCGUAGAUGGAUGGUCGUCGCCUGCGCGGGGGUAACCGUGCGUGGGAACAGAACCCGGCGUACCGGCCAGCUCAUCCG
rnacentral:RNase_P_RNA from 1 species